UCGGGUAGUUAAGUAUUCUGUCGUUCAAAAGGCGGCGGAGCUUGUGAUAGACCGCUACCUGAAACCACUGCAAAACCAAACUUAUAUUUGCAUUUAGGAUUGCAAAAUCAUAAAAAUCAAAAUAAGAAAAAGUGUCUAUCAGUUUUGACCGAAAGGUGUCUACAUAGUAAUGAGUUGUUCAUUGCCACAAACACUCUCAAGGUGAAUGUGAUUCUUUCGAAAGGUUUCUAACACCGCAAGUGUGAAUCUGCUCGGCAGGGUAGAAGAAAAUAAGUAAGAAGAGAGUAGGUUAAAACUCAAAGAGUGGUUCACUUAAAUAACCGACAUUGGUUGUUACAUCUCAAAAGGAUGUGGAAACAAAGGGAAUAGAUAAUCCUUUUAAAGACAACUACAAUAUGGUGUAUUCUCAGCCU
rnacentral:sRNA from 10 species